rnacentral:tRNA from 1 species
UGCAGGAUUAGUUCAAAUGGAAAGAGCAACAGUCUACGAAGCUGUUAAUAGGGGUUCGAAUCCCUUAUCCUGCGCCAA